UGGCCGGUACAAAGAGAAGCGAGGCUGUGAAGCGGAGCAAAUCUCAAAAACCGGUCCCAGUUCGGAUUGUAGGCUGUAACCCGCCUACAUGAAGUCGGAGUUGCUAGUAAUCGCGGAUCAGAAUGCCGCGGUGAAUGCGUUCCCGGGUCUUGUACACACCGCCCGUCACACCAUGGAAGUUGGGGGCGCCCGAAGUUGCCUAAGAAAUAAGGUACCCUAAGGCGAAACCAAUGACUGGGUGAAGUCGUAACAAGGUAGC
rnacentral:rRNA from 1 species